CGGUUGAUCCUGCCAGUAAUCAUAUGCUUGUCUUAAAGAUUAAGCCAUGCAUGUCUAAGUAUAAGCAAUUUAUACGGCGAAACUGCGAAUGGCUCAUUAAAUCAGUUAUAGUUUAUUUGAUAGUACCUUAACUACAUGGAUAACCGUAGUAAUUCUAGAGCUAAUACAUGCUAAAAGGCUCACUCAAUUUUUUUGGUUGGGUGAGCUGUAUUUAUUAGAUAAAAAACCAAUGCAGGGGGCAACUCCUGGACCAUUGAUGAUUCAUGAUAACUUCGCGAAUCGCAUGGCCUUGUGCCGGCGAUGAUUCAUUCAAAUUUCUGCCCUAUCAACUUUCGAUGGCGGUGUAGUGGACCACCAUGGUUGUAACGGGUGACGGAGAAUUAGGGUUCGGUUCCGGAGAGGGAGCCUGAGAGAUGGCUACCACUUCCAAGGAAGGCAGCAGGCGCGCAAAUUACCCAAUAGCAAUACGCUGAGGUAGUGACAAUAAAUAACAAUACGGGUCCCGACAAGGGUCUCGUAAUUGGAAUGAGUACAAUUUAAAUCCCUUAACGAGGAACAAUUGGAGGGCAAGUCUGGU
rnacentral:rRNA from 1 species